rnacentral:rRNA from 1 species
UGCGUAGGCGGGCUAAUAAGUCAGUGGUGAAAUCUCUCGGCUCAACCGGGAAACUGCCAUUGAUACUGUUAGUCUUGAGUUCGGUUGAGGUAGGCGGAAUGUGUAGUGUAGCGGUGAAAUGCUUAGAUAUUACACAGAACACCAAUUGCGUAGGCAGCUUACUAGACCGACACUGACGCUGAGGCACGAAAGCGUGGGGAGCGAACAGGAUUAGAUACCCUGGUAGUCC